rnacentral:rRNA from 1 species
AACGAACGCUGGCGGCAUGCCUAACACAUGCAAGUCGAACGAGACCUUCGGGUCUAGUGGCGCACGGGUGCGUAACGCGUGGGAACCUGCCCUUAGGUUCGGAAUAACUCCCCGAAAGGGGUGCUAAUACCGGAUAAUGUCUUCGGACCAAAGAUUUAUCGCCUUUGGAUGGGCCCGCGUUGGAUUAGCUAGUUGGUGGGGUAAAAGCCUACCAAGGCGACGAUCCAUAGCUGGUCUGAGAGGAUGAUCAGCCACACUGGGACUGAGACACGGCCCAGACUCCUACGGGAGGCAGCAGUGGGGAAUAUUGGACAAUGGGCGAAAGCCUGAUCCAGCAAUGCCGCGUGAGUGAUGAAGGCCUUAGGGUUGUAAAGCUCCUUUACCCGGGAUGAUAAUGACAGUACCGGGAGAAUAAGCUCCGGCUAACUCCGUG